CCCCAUGCUACGUGUCUGAUUGAUUAUUUCGACUGAAUGGGCAAUAAAUUAGUUACUUAUGAGCUGGUUAACAAAUGUAACUGAUUUUAUUUAGACUGCAUGGGCAACUAAAUUUUUUAUUGUUGAGAAGGACACAAUUAUUAAUGGUUCCUACUGUCAGUCAUUGUGAUACUUCAUCCUAAUGAUAACCGCAUAUAUAUAUAUACAGUACUUAGCACUGCAUAGAAUAAUAUUUCUCAAUGUGACUAUACUUGUACCUGUAUCAAUAUGCAAGUAGUUUUUUAUUUACAGCAUUGUUCAUUAAUGUUAUUGUUGUUACAUCUUUGUAUUAUUCAAAUAUGACAGCUGCUGUACAUUAUAUACGUGUACUCUUUCAAUAAACUCUGCAUGAUGCAUUC
rnacentral:misc_RNA from 1 species